GACGUAUGUACAUAGCAAACAAUUUGCAUAUGACGAACUAUAAAAUAUGCGUCACCAUCUUGGAUCAUUUGGUAACAGCUGUUUUAUCGAUUUCCAGUUAUUACACGGUUCAAAAUUUUGUACAUCUACUUCGAGUUAGAAUCUGAUUUUACCAACCGCCCCUGUGGCCUAAUGGAUAAGGCAUCGGUCUCCUAAACCGGGGAUUGUGGGUUCGAGUCCCACCAGGGGUAUAAAACAGAUGGAUCACGAAUUCCCUUUACCCAACGUGGCAUCCAAAAGUAUGGUGUAAAAGUUUCUGAUUGUCCUCCGUAAUGCUUUUUAAAGAUGUUCCUGAAGUCAAAAUAUGGUAUGUUUAAUUUUCAAGCAAUAAUUUUA